rnacentral:rRNA from 1 species
CAUGCAAGUCGAGCGGUAAGGCCCUUCGGGGUACACGAGCGGCGAACGGGUGAGUAACACGUGGGUGAUCUGCCUCGCACUCUGGGAUAAGCCUGGGAAACUGGGUCUAAUACCGGAUAUGACCUUACAUCGCAUGGUGUUUGGUGGAAAGAUUUAUCGGUGCGAGAUGGGCCCGCGGCCUAUCAGCUUGUUGGUGGGGUAAUGGCCUACCAAGGCGACGACGGGUAGCCGGCCUGAGAGGGCGACCGGCCACACUGGGACUGAGACACGGCCCAGACUCCUACGGGAGGCAGCAGUGGGGAAUAUUGCACAAUGGGCGAAAGCCUGAUGCAGCGACGCCGCGUGAGGGAUGACGGCCUUCGGGUUGUAAACCUCUUUCGACAGGGACGAAGCGCAAGUGACGGUACCUGUAGAAGAAGCACCGGCCAACUACGUGCCAGCAGCCGCGGUAAUACGUAGGGUGCGAGCGUUGUCCGGAAUUACUGGGCGUAAAGAGCUUGUAGGCGGCUUGUCGCGUCGAUCGUGAAAACUUGGGGCUCAACCCCAAGCUUGCGGUCGAUACGGGCAGGCUUGAGUACUUCAGGGGAGACUGGAAUUCCUGGUGUAGCGGUGAAAUGCGCAGAUAUCAGGAGGAACACCGGUGGCGAAGGCGGGUCUCUGGGAAGUAACUGACGCUGAGAAGCGAAAGCGUGGGUAGCGAACAGGAUUAGAUACCCUGGUAGUCCACGCCGUAAACGGUGGGUACUAGGUGUGGGUUUCCUUCCACGGGAUCCGUGCCGUAGCUAACGCAUUAAGUACCCCGCCUGGGGAGUACGGCCGCAAGGCUAAAACUCAAAGGAAUUGACGGGGGCCCGCACAAGCGGCGGAGCAUGUGGAUUAAUUCGAUGCAACGCGAAGAACCUUACCUGGGUUUGACAUACACCGGAAACCUGCAGAGAUGUAGGCCCCCUUGUGGUCGGUGUACAGGUGGUGCAUGGCUGUCGUCAGCUCGUGUCGUGAGAUGUUGGGUUAAGUCCCGCAACGAGCGCAACCCUUAUCUUAUGUUGCCAGCGCGUAAUGGCGGGGACUCGUGAGAGACUGCCGGGGUCAACUCGGAGGAAGGUGGGGACGACGUCAAGUCAUCAUGCCCCUUAUGUCCAGGGCUUCACACAUGCUACAAUGGCCGGUACAGAGGGCUGCGAUACCGUGAGGUGGAGCGAAUCCCUUAAAGCCGGUCUCAGUUCGGAUCGGGGUCUGCAACUCGACCCCGUGAAGUUGGAGUCGCUAGUAAUCGCAGAUCAGCAACGCUGCGGUGAAUACGUUCCCGGGCCUUGUACACACCGCCCGUCACGUCAUGAAAGUCGGUAACACCCGAAGCCGGUGGCCUAACC